UGGCUAUUUCUGAGUACUUGGGGUUGAUAAAACAUCGUACUUCCUUUUCUUGGCAGAUGGAGACAUAAAAAGAUUUCUAAUAGACGCAAGGGGAUCGUCUACCUGCACAAAUGUAAUAACACCAAAGUAACGUAAUCAUCUCAAACGAACCAAGUGCAAGUAUGAGGUAUUUUAUGUUCAACAACCUAGCACUUCACUCAUACACUAGGAAGAAAGGUCAAGAAAUACCUUAAAAAUAGAUGACGAUGGAGAUCUCUCAGAUGUAGGUGGUGAACUCCCUUGCUGACGCUGUAAAGCAGAUAUUGUCUGUUGCCAUCCAGGUGUCCCCUUGCCUGUUGAUGCAAUCCAGGGGCAAAAAUGUCUGUGCUGCCUGAUGGGAUCAAACUCCAUUUUAUUAUCUGAUGACACUUGUUUUAUUAGAUCGCUCCCUGAGAAGGAAGACCAAGAAGGAUCAUUAAAAUCAUUUUUCAGUUUCAUUUGAAAUCUAGCAGGCGAGAGGAUUAAAGAAUAAUAGUUUCAGAUAAAGGGGAAAAAAGGUUUAGGAAAGAAAGAAAUGAUUUUAAAGUUUCUCA